rnacentral:rRNA from 1 species
CCUACGGGGGGCAGCAGUAAGGAAUAUUGGUCAAUGGACGCAAGUCUGAACCAGCCAUGCCGCGUGGAGGAUGACGGCCUCUGGGUUGUAAACUCCUUUUAUCUGGGAAGCGGUACCAGAGGAAUAAGCACCGGCUAACUCCGUGCCAGCAGCCGCGGUAAUACGGAGGGUGCAAGCGUUAUCCGGAUUCACUGGGUUUAAAGGGUGCGUAGGUGGAAAGGUAAGUCAGUGGUGAAAUCUCCAAGCUUAACUUGGAAACUGCCGUUGAUACUAUCUUUCUUGAAUAUCGUGGAGGUAAGCGGAAUAUGUCAUGUAGCGGUGAAAUGCUUAGAUAUGACAUAGAACACCGAUUGCGAAGGCAGCUUACUACACGAUAUUGACACUGAGGCACGAAAGCGUGGGGAGCAAACAGGAUUAGAUACCCUUGUAGUC